rnacentral:rRNA from 1 species
AGAGUUUGAUCCUGGCUCAGGACGAACGCUGACGGUGUGCUUUAGGCAUGCAAGUCGAACGAGAAAACCCUUCGGGGUGAGUAAAGUGGCGAACGGGUGAGUAACACGUGGGCAACCUGCCCCUCGCAGGGGGACAACCGGAGGAAACUCCGGCUAAUACCCCGUAAGCUCUACACGCCGCAUGGCGAGUAGAGGAAAGGUAGCUUCGGCCAUCCGGCGAGGGAUGGGCCCGCGGUGCAUUAGCUAGUUGGUGGGGUAACGGCCCACCAAGGCGACGAUGCGUAGCUGGUCUGAGAGGAUGAUCAGCCACACUGGGACUGAGACACGGCCCAGACUCCUACGGGAGGCAGCAGCCAGGAAUCUUGGGCAAUGGGCGAAAGCCUGACCCAGCAACACCGUGUGGGCGAUGAAGGCCUUCGGGUCGUAAAGCCCUGUUGAUAGGGACGAAGGGCGAAGGGUUAAUAGCCCCUAGCUUGACGGUACCUUUCGAGGAAGCCCCGGCUAACUACGUGCCAGCAGCCGCGGUAAUACGUAGGGGGCGAGCGUUGUCCGGAAUUAUUGGGCGUAAAGAGCGUGUAGGCGGUUCGGUAAGUCUGUCGUGAAAUCCUGGGGCUCAACCCUGGGCGUGCGAUGGAUACUGCCGGGCUAGAGGGUGGUAGAGGCGAGUGGAAUUCCCGGUGUAGCGGUGAAAUGCGCAGAUAUCGGGAGGAACACCAGUAGCGAAGGCGGCUCGCUGGGCCACACCUGACGCUGAGACGCGAAAGCUAGGNNAGCGAACAGGAUUAGAUACCCUAGUAGUCC